AAAUUAGCGGAUGACCUGUGGCUGGGGGUGAAAGGCCAAUCAAACCGGGAGAUAGCUGGUUCUCCCCGAAAGCUAUUUAGGUAGCGCCUCGUGAAUUCAUCUCCGGGGGUAGAGCACUGUUUCGGCUCCGGCACCACCGAUCUGUACAUCAACGGCAUCGGCGAUGGAGCACAGACCACUAACGGUAUCGAAGUGGUGGAUGUUGGCGGCGUAUCGACCAGCGAUGCGUUUGUGUUAAAAAAUGAGGUUAAC
rnacentral:rRNA from 1 species